rnacentral:rRNA from 1 species
UUUGGAGAGUUUGAUCCUGGCUCAGGACGAACGCUGGCGGCGUGCCUAAUACAUGCAAGUCGAACGCUUUUUCUUUCACCGGAGCUUGCUCCACCGAAAGAAAAGGAGUGGCGAACGGGUGAGUAACACGUGGGUAACCUGCCCAUCAGAAGGGGAUAACACUUGGAAACAGGUGCUAAUACCGUAUAACAAUCGAAACCGCAUGGUUUCGGUUUGAAAGGCGCUUUUGCGUCACUGAUGGAUGGACCCGCGGUGCAUUAGCUAGUUGGUGAGGUAACGGCUCACCAAGGCAACGAUGCAUAGCCGACCUGAGAGGGUGAUCGGCCACAUUGGGACUGAGACACGGCCCAAACUCCUACGGGAGGCAGCAGUAGGGAAUCUUCGGCAAUGGACGCAAGUCUGACCGAGCAACGCCGCGUGAGUGAAGAAGGUUUUCGGAUCGUAAAACUCUGUUGUUAGAGAAGAACAAGGAUGAGAGUAGAAUGUUCAUCCCUUGACGGUAUCUAACCAGAAAGCCACGGCUAACUACGUGCCAGCAGCCGCGGUAAUACGUAGGUGGCAAGCGUUGUCCGGAUUUAUUGGGCGUAAAGCGAGCGCAGGCGGUUUCUUAAGUCUGAUGUGAAAGCCCCCGGCUCAACCGGGGAGGGUCAUUGGAAACUGGGAAACUUGAGUGCAGAAGAGGAGAGUGGAAUUCCAUGUGUAGCGGUGAAAUGCGUAGAUAUAUGGAGGAACACCAGUGGCGAAGGCGGCUCUUCUGGUCUGUAACUGACGCUGAGGCUCGAAAGCUGG